UACGUAGGGUGCGAGCGUUAAUCGGAAUUACUGGGCGUAAAGCGUGCGCAGGCGGUCUGUUAAGACAGAUGUGAAAUCCCCGGGCUUAACCUGGGAACUGCAUUUGUGACUGGCAGGCUAGAGUAUGGCAGAGGGGGGUAGAAUUCCACGUGUAGCAGUGAAAUGCGUAGAGAUGUGGAGGAAUACCGAUGGCGAAGGCAGCACUCUGGGCCGGUACUGACGUGAGGAGCGAAAGCGUGGGGAGCGAAACAG
rnacentral:rRNA from 1 species